GACGUAGGGGGCAAGCGUUGUCCGGAAUUACUGGGCGUAAAGCGCGUGCAGGCGGCUUUGUAAGUCCCGUGUGAAAGCCUACGGCUCAACUGUAGGAGGCCGCGGGAUACUGCGAGGCUCGAGGGCAGGAGAGGGAAGUAGAAUUCCCGGUGUAGCGGUGAAAUGCGUAGAUAUCGGGAGGAAUGCCAGUGGCGAAGGCGGCUUCCUGGCCUGCCCCUGACGCUGAGACGCGAAAGCUGGGGGAGCGAACGGG
rnacentral:rRNA from 1 species